rnacentral:lncRNA from 1 species
AACUCUGAUGGCAUUGUACAAUUUCCCUUUGUCUUGAUGCUAGUUCUAGAAUCUAAUCCAGAAGUACCUAACUAGGACAUAUUGCUAAUCAUUUUGUCUUCAAAGUUCAAACCAACUUAAGCAUCUGCCAAAGCCAAAAAUAAAAAGCAAAAAAAGAAAAAGGCUUCUGAAAAUGUCAAAUAAUUUCUCGGAAACUUUUACAAAACUAAGACAGUCUUAUGUAUCAGCAGUUAAACAAAUUCAAUGAGAUCUGAUUUGC